rnacentral:lncRNA from 1 species
AUCCUUGAUUCAAAUAUAAGUUAGAAUUUACAUACCUCAAACAAAGAAACAGACUUGGCAAAACCAAAUAAAGGCUACAAGAACGAAGAAGAAGAAGCUCAGCAGAUCAGCAGUACGAAUCCAAAGAAAUCAAUAGCAAAUCCACAGCUUUGAGAACCAGAAAUAGACUCAAUCCAAACCCAUUCUCGCACAAUCAGAAUCUUACACCUUUUCUGGAUUUGUUUUGAAACAAAAUAAACUUCAAAUCAACAAACAAACUCAAACCAUACUUUUUUUUUUUGUGAAUAGAGGCAGACUAAAAUUUUUAAAGGAAAAGAAAAGGGCUUGAAGAGUAUGACAACUCUAAGAACCCUAGAAAAAUCUUUCACUCUCAAAUUUUUUUUCAAACUUUUCUUCUGUUUUUUUAUCCCCCUCUUUUUUUUAACUUAGAAGACUUACCACAUAUAUAUAGUCUUCAAUAUCUUCAAGAAAUCUUCCCAAAAAUCCGAAAAAUCUCCCAAAUUUUCGAACAAUUUUGGGAUAAAUGGAGGGCGUGGAUUGAUUUACAUCUAUCCACGGCUCUCAUUCGUCUAACAAUUGUCCUUUUGAAUCCGAAAUCGUGCUAUUUGGGAGAGAAAAAUUCGUACUCCCUACUGACAAAAACCGUUUGGGAAUCAAAUGACGUGGAGGGGGGAUCAUUUUGAGCGAACUCGAAUGAGUGAUGGUGAGUCAAGGCGAGGAAGAUGAUGAACAGUGGACUCGGCGCCGCAUCUGAUUUCUCUAGGUUUAG